UUAUCAACCAUUCAAGCCUGGCUUGUCGUUAGACCCGUUGUCGCUUUGUGGCGACAGGUCCGAAAGAUAAUGAACGGUGUCAUGGUGGCCCUAAAUGCAACGAGCUUUUAGUAGCACGCAUCUGGUGGCCAGCAGGCCCGGUCUUAACCCAUUAUUUCAAGGUUGACCUCGGAUCAGGUAGGAAUACCCGCUGAACUUAA
rnacentral:misc_RNA from 1 species